rnacentral:lncRNA from 1 species
AAAUUGAGAAGAAAAGGUUCUUCUUUUAAUCUCUAUUGUAGAGAUCAGAUGCAUGGAUCUAGAAAGAAAAAGAGAGGAUCUCUUUAUUCUUCAUCUCCAUCAUGUUCUUCUUAGAUCAGUCAAAAGAUGGUGUCUUCGCGAGCUAGCAUUCCCAGAGAGAUCGAUCAGCAUGAAAAUUUCAUUUGGAUAUCCAUAGAGGAUGGAUGCGUGUGCGGUUGUCAAGCAUCAUGAAGAACCAUCUACCAUGAAUUUUGGAUGUGGUGAUCUACUAUUCAUGCUCAAAUAUGAAGUUUUGAAUUCAAUUAAUAUUUAGUUAUGAUCUAAAUAUAAAUUAGAUAUGUCUUUACUUGCUGAAUUUUAGAUUUCAGAUUUACAUACAUGCAUAUUAGUUUAUGUCAUAGAUCCUACAUGGUGAUUUUAGAUUUGAUCUAUGC